rnacentral:rRNA from 1 species
GAUGAACGCUGGCGGCGUGCCUAAUACGUGCAAGUCGAGCGAACGGACGAGAAGCUUGCUUCUCUGAUGUUAGCGGCGGACGGGUGAGUAACACGUGGAUAACCUACCUAUAAGACUGGGAUAACUUCGGGAAACCGGAGCUAAUACCGGAUAAUAUUUUGAACCGCAUGGUUCAAAAGUGAAAGACGGUCUUGCUGUCACUUAUAGAUGGAUCCGCGCUGCAUUAGCUAGUUGGUAAGGUAACGGCUUACCAAGGCAACGAUGCAUAGCCGACCUGAGAGAGUGAUCGGCCACACUGGAACUGAGGCACGGUCCAGACUCCUACAGGAGGCAGCAGUAGGGAAUCUUCCGCAGUGGGCGAAAGCCUGACGGAGCAACGCCGCGUGAGUGAUGAAGGUCUUCGGAUCGUAAAACGCUGUUAUUAGGGAAGAACAUAUGUGUAAGUAACUGUGCACAUCUUGACGGUACCUAAUAAGAAAGCCACGGCUAACUACGU